CGCUGCUCGGUCCCGUCAUUCGUGAUUGACGCUUUUUGUGAUCCGUGUGGCAUCUGCGAGGUCUCUGGGAAAGACAGCCCGUGAAGCUGUGAUUCAGAGAUUGCCGCUGCUGCUUUGCCUAGUCGGAGUUACACACUAACAUAGCUUACCUGUUUUUAUUAUUUUAAACUUUUUAAUUGAAGCCUUGUCUUUUUUUUAUUGUUAUGACCUGUUUAUUACUUUGAGUAUUUUGUUUUGUUUUAGUGAUUUUUAAUUUGGCUUUGAUUUCAGUAAAAGCUAUCGACAUAAAAUUUUAACCAAGAUCUCCUGAUAGUGGCUCGGGGGAAUUUUGGUCCAGAGGUGGUGAAGUAUAAUAGGUGGCUUAUUUUAAUAACAUUGCAUGUACUUUUAAGCGUGAUUUGGGUUUUUAUUUUGUUAUAUUGAUGUGUUGACGUGUUUAUUUAUAGCCCCUUUUAUACGAUCCACACCAUAGAACUAUAG